GAUGAAGAACGUAGCGAAAUGCGAUACUUGGUGUGAAUUGCAGAAUCCCGUGAACCAUCGAGUCUUUGAACGCAAGUUGCGCCCGAAGCCAUUAGGCCGAGGGCACGCCUGCCUGGGCGUCACACGUCGUUGCCCCCCCAUCUACUCCUUCGGGAUUGCGGGGGGCGGAUGAUGGCCUCCCGUGCGCCUCGUCGCGCGGUUGGCAUAAAUGCCAAGUCCUCGGCGACGCACGCCACGACAAUCGGUGGUUGCGAAACCUCGGUUGCCCGUCGUGUGCGGUCGUCGCGCAUCGAGGGCUCGAAAAAAUUGCCGGGCUCCGGCUCGGCUUUCAACGCGACCCCGGGUCAGGCGGGGUUACCCGCUGAAUUUAAGCAUAUCAAUAAGCGGAGGA
rnacentral:misc_RNA from 1 species